rnacentral:rRNA from 1 species
AUGCGGGGGCGGGGGCGGGGUCGGCUGAGGUCGGGUCCGGUGAAGAACAGACCGAGGGUUGGGUUCGGUGCAUGCAUAUGUAUGUAUGCCGUCAGCGGUCGCUGUCUCAUGGCCCUCUGCCGCGAUCGUCGAUCCGCCACCGCCUCCCCCUCGGCCGAAAACCGCGGGCGCUCGCGUGGCGGCGUGCCUCCCGCCGCGGGUUGCGUGGCACGGCUGUUUCCGCGCGCGGUAGUGAAGGCGCUCGUGGUCCGCUCCGUUGCUCGGCCGGGCUGGAUUGGAUUGCAGGUUGACCACAAAAGGCCUAAAAGGCCCCUCCCUCUUUUUUGCGGGAUUUUAUUCUUGCGAAAAAGAUCAGAUCUAUUGUAG